GCAUUAAUGGGGUAGUGGUAACCUGGGUCGUUGCCAUAUCAUGGAUAAAUGGUUGGAUCACGCUCGACCCGCCGGGAGUUCGAUUCUCUCUUAAUGCA